rnacentral:ribozyme from 11 species
UUUUUGAAUAAACGUAGAUUUAAAAAAGAGAAAAAAAAAAGAAAACGCUGUGUUUUUUUUUAUACCUUCUUCACGAAGAAACUCUAGUACAACUCCUUCAUGAAGAAAUUCUAGUAUACUGACCAGAAGAAUUAUUCACCAUGUUUU